UACAGAGGGUGCGAGCGUUAUUCGGAAUUACUGGGCGUAAAGCGUGCGCAGGCGGUUGGGUAAGUCUGAUGUGAAAGCCCCGGGCUCAACCUGGGAAUGGCAUUGGAAACUGGCUGGCUAGAGUGUGGCAGAGGGGGGUGGAAUUCCGCGUGUAGCAGUGAAAUGCGUAGAGAUGCGGAGGAACACCGAUGGCGAAGGCAGCCCCCUGGGCUAGCACUGACGCUCAGGCACGAAAGCGUGGGGAGCAAACAGG
rnacentral:rRNA from 1 species